UUUCCGUAGGUGAACCUGCGGAAGGAUCAUUAAAGUAUAACGGAGAUUCGAGGGCUGUCGCUGUCCCGAAAGCUCGUGCACGCCCGUGAGCCCUCACACCCAUACAUCACAGCCCCCUGUGUCCUACCGAGAGGGUGCCACUUAGGCAUGUUCGGAGGGGGGCUUACGUAUUCACACAAACUUUGCAUGCAGUGUAGAUUGUAUUGUUUGUUUUUGUGAUCACGCAAACAAUACAACAUACAGCAACGGAUAUCUUGGCUCUCGCAUCGAAGAAGAACG
rnacentral:misc_RNA from 1 species